rnacentral:rRNA from 1 species
GGGAUAACAGUUAGAAAUGACUGCUAAUACCGCAUAAGACCACAGCACCGCAUGGUGCAGAGGUAAAAACUCCGGUGGUAUGAGAUGGACCCGCGUCUGAUUAGCUAGUUGGUGGGGUAACGGCCUACCAAGGCGACGAUCAGUAGCCGGCCUGAGAGGGCGACCGGCCACAUUGGGACUGAGACACGGCCCAAACUCCUACGGGAGGCAGCAGUGGGGAAUAUUGCACAAUGGGGGAAACCCUGAUGCAGCGACGCCGCGUGAAGGAAGAAGUAUUUCGGUAUGUAAACUUCUAUCAGCAGGGAAGAAAAUGACGGUACCUGACUAAGAAGCCCCGGCUAACUACGUGCCAGCAGCCGCGGUAAUACGUAGGGGGCAAGCGUUAUCCGGAUUUACUGGGUGUAAAGGGAGCGUAGACGGAGAGGCAAGUCUGAUGUGAAAACCCGGGGCUCAACCCCGGGACUGCAUUGGAAACUGUUUUUCUAGAGUGUCGGAGAGGUAAGCGGAAUUCCUAGUGUAGCGGUGAAAUGCGUAGAUAUUAGGAGGAACACCAGUGGCGAAGGCGGCUUACUGGACGAUGACUGACGUUGAGGCUCGAAAGCGUGGGGAGCAAACAGGAUUAGAUACCCUGGUAGUCCACGCCGUAAACGAUGACUACUAGGUGUCGGGUGGCAAAGCCAUUCGGUGCCGCAG